AGAUUGUGUUAUUUUUGGAGAAAAACGAAAAAAAGGAGUCCGAAUAUUGAUUCCGUCAUCAGACUGACUUUUAGUCAUAGAUAAACUUCCGGUUUGAAACACGCACACGUACAACCAAUCGUAUGAUAGAUAACAAAAAUGAAAAAAAAUAAAUAAGCCAAUCAGAGCGUUCUUCAUAUCUUGGUGUUUAGAUCGCCAGAACCAC
rnacentral:lncRNA from 1 species